AGUCCCAUGGUGUAGCGGUUAGCUCUCAGGACUUUGAAUCCUGAUAUCCGAGUUCGUAUCUCAGUGGAACCC
rnacentral:tRNA from 1 species